rnacentral:rRNA from 1 species
UACGGAGGGUGCAAGCGUUGUCCGGAAUCACUGGGCGUAAAGGGCGCGUAGGCGGCUCGGUAAGUAGGGGGUGAAAUCCUGCGGCUUAACCGCAGGGCUGCCUUCUAAACUGUCGAGCUCGAGCACGGUAGAGGCAGAUGGAAUUCCCGGUGUAGCGGUGGAAUGCGUAGAGAUCGGGAAGAACACCGGUGGCGAAGGCGGCCAUCUGGACGGUGACUGACGCUGAGACGCGAAAGCGUGGGGAGCAAACAGG